rnacentral:rRNA from 1 species
AUUGAACGCUGGCGGCAGGCCUAACACAUGCAAGUCGAGCGGAUGAAGGGAGCUUGCUCCUGGAUUCAGCGGCGGACGGGUGAGUAAUGCCUAGGAAUCUGCCUGGUAGUGGGGGAUAACGUCCGGAAACGGGCGCUAAUACCGCAUACGUCCUGAGGGAGAAAGUGGGGGAUCUUCGGACCUCACGCUAUCAGAUGAGCCUAGGUCGGAUUAGCUAGUUGGUGGGGUAAAGGCCUACCAAGGCGACGAUCCGUAACUGGUCUGAGAGGAUGAUCAGUCAAAACUGAAACUGGAACCCGGCCCAACUCCCUAGGGGGGGCAGAGGGGGGAAAUUUUGGCAAAUGGGGAAAGCCCGAAUCCACCCAGCCGGGGGGGUUAAAAAAGGCCUUGGAUUUUAAAAGCCCUUUAUGUGGGGAGAAAGGGCAGGAAGUUAAUCCUUUGCGUUUUUACGGUACCCAAAAAAAAAACCACGGGUAACUUUGUG